UGGCGCGAUUACCACAUUUUCCGAACCCUGAUGAAUAAGCUGGACAGUCUUUUCGAAAAUCGUGAACAAUUACGGCGAUGGCCUAGGUUAUCGUUGAGACAUACCCCGGAACAACAACAACAAGUUCGAAGGCGGAUCUUUCCCUGGCAGGAAAGUGGACAGAGCUUCGACGGAGCGCGGAAAAUACUUUGUGAUGGGGAAUUGGAAACGGAUAAUGUUCAGGGCUAACAGGACCCCAUAUAUCUGAUCCCCGACAUUUACGCAGCUUUUACGCGAUUUACCUGAUCUGGAACAUGAUGGGGGUUCGCAGGAGCAAAAGUCUGGCAGACAAUCACCAACGGCCUUUUUUCGUUCCGACAUACAGCCCUUUAUGAUAAAGGAUGCGUUAUGGACAGCUGACACGCAGGACUUUGAUGCAAUUCUACCGUUCUGUACGAGCGCUUUUUCAAACUCACAGCGAAUCCAGGGAACAUCGACCCCCUCCCGACAUAUUCCAGACCCCAACAGGCAACGAUCAACUGUGGCCCAAGUACACUGCUCAGAAUCAAGCCCACCCGAAAACUACUGUUGGGCCGGGAACUUGCUGCUU